CUGGAGAACGAGCUCCCGUCCACGGCGACCCAGAUCCCCACGCCCAGGAGUGCCCCUCCGCCAAGCUAGGAGGCGAGAGAGAGAGCUCCUGACGUGGUUUCCUGAGCUUUGACACAAACCCAACUCCACGCGGGCUGGCGGUGCACGGAUCUGCUGAGAGAAGCUGCGUCGAUCAGGAACGAACCCACCAGCGCUCAGAUAGGCCAAGACAAGCUGAGCCUUUCCAGGUUCAAUCAGAGCUGAAACCAGCUGUGGUGGGACUGUGUUUUUGCCCUGACUGCUUAGAGCUUAAAAUCACGGGACAGCUAAAGUCACUUGAGAUGGGGCAGUGUUUCUGCCCAGCCUGCACAAGAGCUGAAAAUCACGGAGAGACGGAUGUGCAGAGGUCACAGAAGAGAGACAGAAGGUGACUGACAGCCAGCAGGGCGGCGGCGGAGAGACACGACAAGCAGCCAGCAGGGUGGCUGGUGGAAGGGUGCCGUGAGCAGGCACCCGGUUAGCCGUGGAGUGAAUAAGGUGCCUCUUUACUCGCCACCCAGAGGGGGAAGUGAACUCUGCAGAUGCACCUCUGAACUCUGGGUCGGCUCUGACCAAGGAUAGCAACUGUGAGUGGGGUGCAGAGAAGGGUCGGGCAGGUGAAAGGGACUUUUGGGUUGCUGGACUUAAGAACCUUAAGAGGGGAAAAGGACACGGCCCAACCUACCUGAGGGUGGGUCUUUUACUCAUGGUUUAUGUUUAUAAACCCUGUUUGUGGUGUUUUCCCAAAUUA